rnacentral:rRNA from 1 species
GUGGGGAAUAUUGGUCAAUGGACGGAAGUCUGAACCAGCCAAGUAGCGUGCAGGAUGACUGCCCUAUGGGUUGUAAACUGCUUUUAUACGGGGAUAAAGUCAGGGUCGUGACCCUGUUUGCAGGUACCGUAUGAAUAAGGACCGGCUAAUUCCGUGCCAGCAGCCGCGGUAAUACGGAAGGUCCAGGCGUUAUCCGGAUUUAUUGGGUUUAAAGGGAGCGUAGGCCGGAGAUUAAGUGUGUUGUGAAAUGUAGAUGCUCAACAUCUGCACUGCAGCGCAUACUGGUUUCCUUGAGUACACACAACGUUGGCGGAAUUCGUCGUGUAGCGGUGAAAUGCUUAGAUAUGACGAAGAACUCCGAUUGCGAAGGCAGCUGACGGGAGUGCAACUGACGCUGAAGCUCGAAAGUGCGGGUAUCGAACAGG